ACUGGAUCCAACCCUCUCUUUUCUAGUUUCUACUAGUCAUAUCUGUUCAUCGGACAGGUGUCAGAUGAUUACGUCUACUGGAGACAAAUUGACGAAUUACUAACCGUACGCAUGUAAUCUUCACUAUCAAUUCUGCAUUCUUUUCUCACUCCGUAAAUAACCCUAUCCCGCACACCUCCACCCAAAUCCCUAGUACAGACCCUCGAACAUUCGGACCAAACGCUCCUUUUCUCCGUUUCUCGGCAAGGAAAGAUGGGCCGCUCAAGCAGAACUAUCUACGUGGGCAAUCUUCCUGGGGAUAUUCGUGAGAGUGAAGUUGAAGAUUUGUUUUACAAGUAUGGGACCAUUGUCGAAAUUGAUUUAAAAAUUCCUCCAAGACCACCUGGUUAUGCUUUUGUAGAGUUUGAAGAUUAUCGUGAUGCUGAUGACGCCAUUCGUGGCCGAGAUGGUUAUGAUUUUGAUGGUCAUCGAUUGAGGGUUGAACUUGCACAUGGAGGGAGAGGAUCAUCAUAUGAUCGCUAUAGUAGUUACAGCAGUGGUGGUAGUCGUGGUGGACUUUCAAGGCGUUCUGACUAUAGAGUUUUGGUGACUGGGCUGCCUUCUUCUGCUUCAUGGCAAGACUUAAAGGAUCACAUGCGUCGAGCCGGGGAUGUCUGCUUCUCUCAAGUUUAUCGCGAUCGAGAUGGCCUGCGAGGAAUUGUUGAUUAUACAAACUAUGAAGACAUGAAAUAUGCGAUAAGGAAACUUGACGAUUCUCUUUUUAGGAAUCAAUUUUCUCGUGCUUAUAUACGGGUGGAGGAGUAUGACCGGCGACGUAGCUACUCUAGGAGUCCUAGUAGGAGUCCUUAUUCAAGAAGCCGAAGUCCCAGCCGCAGCUACAGCAGCUAUAGGGGCAGAAGUGUGUCACCUAGGGCUAAGUAUUCUCGCCAUGCUUCAUAUCGAUCUCGUUCUAGAUCUGUCUCUUCACGAUCAUACUCUCUGUCACCUCCUCGCUCUGUUUCAAGAUUUGGCGUUUCGUCGUGGUGUGGGGAUUGCGUGUUAGGGACUUGAUGAUUUGUGGUGCUCAAUCAUGUGUCUCAUUGUGGCAGUAUGCUGUUUAGUCAAUGAGCACCUGCGGUAAGGACGAGGUUUGUAGAGAAAGGACUUGCCACCUCUGGGGUUUUGAUACAAUUAUUAUGAAGAUUGCCUUUUUUGUUUUCUAGAUUUGCCGUUUCCUCGCGGUCUGUGGAUUGCGUGUUAGGGACUUGAUGAUUUGGGUGCUCUAUCAGGCGACUCAUUGUGGCAGUAUGCUGUGUAGUCAAUGAGCACCUGCGAUCUCCCUCACGAUCCAGAACUCCAGCAUCACCACCUCCUAGACGCAAGCGUGCGAGAGUUAGUCCAGAGCUGAGUCCCAGCUAUAGCAGAAGCAGAUCCCUAUCCCAUGCUUCUUCUGUUAGAUCCUACUGAAGCAGAUUUGCAGACUUGAGGUAGCUAGUGCCUAAUUGGCUAUGAGAAUAAACUGUUCUAUGGUACUCAGUCAGUUUAUCGUAACCAUAGAAACUGUGUGACGCUUACAUACAAUUGGACAGACUUUGAACAGUAGUAAAGAAUGGUACCUAUCUGAGAUUUGAAUAUAUUAAAAUCCUGUGAGAUUUUAUGUUGUUUUCAUGUUCUUGAUAUCAUGUUGUGGGUCCCAUUUCGCUACCUAUUGAGCCUCGGUUGUUCAGGGUAUGGCUUGUUGCCAUGCACGAGCACCUUUUGGUGUCUUCGUGCAUGCGAUAUAUCGUGCUAUAUGUUACUUGCAUUUGGAUUACUUACAAUACACGGCUGUAUGAAGGUGUGCUAAAGAAUUUUUUAAUAUUACUCUUCCUGUUCGAUGA